AGAAAUUGUACUUACGGAUGUCAAAUGUAUUACUAAACAACAAUAUUCUAGCAAUUUAUGGCCUUUGAAAAUCAAACGAUAUUGUAUUGUUGACUAUUAAAUCGCUCGCAGACCUCUCGCAGUAUGUGUUUACUGUUGUUGACAAUCACUCGACACUCGCAGUACGUUUGACUUCGUAUUUGUACUGUCUAAUGGCGCAAUAAGGAUAAAAAUAUCACCGUUCGAUUCAGCGUAAGAAAUUGUACUUACGGAUGUCAAAUGUAUUACUACACAACAGUAUUCUAGCGGUUUAUGGCGUUUGUCUUUGAAAGCCAAGCGAAAUUGUAUUGUUAACAAAUCGCUCAAAAUUUAUAUUAAUUAAACUAAUUAUAAAAAAUGCAGUACGUUUGAUCCUUGAUAACUUUGGUAUCGUUGGUUUUCCCUUUUUCGUCCGUACACCAGUAGAUUCGUCUCACUUCUCUCUUCAUUUUGAUAGUAUUUUGAGCCCAAAAAUAUUAUAUUUCGCACGUUUUUAAGUGCAGUUUAACCCUAGCCAAAAAUUAUUUUGAACGUUUUUAAGCGCAGUUUAAUCCUAGCCGGCGGAAACGCAGGAAGUUUUAUUUGUAGACCACAUGUAAUAGUACUGUUUCUGAUUGUAUAAGUCCUGAACUGAGGUCAUUAUACUAACAGAAACUUCAAAACUGAGCCACCUACCUGCAAUACAAGCCUACUAAUUUGAGAGCGGCAGCAUGCACUCUCACCUUAAUUAACAAGCAAAAUCGACUGGUUUAAUAAUAAAGUAGGGUGCAUGAUUGCCAUUGGGGCACAAUACAAAUCAGUGGGAUAAUAAACAAUAUUAUAACAUGGUAUUCACCUAAAUAAACUGCAGAGCACUGUUAUAUGUUGAUAUGGUUCAAAACAGAGUGAACAAAACUCGCGAUCAGUUUCCCGCUUAGCUUGGGACAACCUCACAACCUUAAAUUUUAAUUAAAAUAGCUGUGUACUGCAUGCAUGUAUGUAUCAUACAUGGUAAUGUGCGUAUUUGUAUAUAGCCCCAGCGAGUUAACGCUCUAUGGAGCGUCUUGUUUCAAUAUAGUUUGUAAAUCUCAGAAGCGAAGGGUAGAACUUGCCAAUAGGCAAUAAUCCAAUAAUAUACGUUUCAAAAAAG